CCAUGUCCAUGAUGAUCUCUGUAUAUAUAAUACUCUCUCAGCUUGCUUCAACUCUCACGCAGCUGCGCGGUGACAACAAAGCCAGCCAUUCUUUUCGCCUUUUACUUUUCCAUUUCUUGGAUGGAUGGCCCCAACAAUUCUUUACUCCCAACUCCCAAGUUUUUUCUUUCAGAUACACUUUAGAGUUUAGACUGUGGGGUAUUCAGAUUUCCGAUCAUGCAGCUCUUUAUUUCAUCUUCAUUUAAUCCUUUGUGUUAUCGGUUUCAAACGGAAAGAUUCUCGACCAAAUCGACAAAUUGCAAUUUGCAGUUGAUCUGAUGAUGGUCUGUCGUAGAAGGUUUUGAUUUUUAAUGGUCUGUCGUAGAGGAUUAAUUUCUAGUUUAGUGGGUCAGAAGUGAGAAUAGCCAUUUCAAAAACUGGAAAAGGGUGCUCUGUCGACGACAAUAUCCGCCUGGUGCUGGUGGAGGAAAACCAACACCAAUUCCCCCAGCACCAGACCCUCCGAUUCCUUGAUGAGAAGAAAUGGGCAUUGACAAGGCAACAGGAGAGAUUGAUGAUUUCUUUAUGGAUUUUUGUGGUUUUGUGGAAGCUGUGAUUGUAUGAAAUCAUAGAAAGUAUGUUUUUUUUUUUUUCGUUUUCUGAGAAUUUGUCCUUGUUGGACAUGUAAAAUAUGGGAGAAGUGAAGGAUAAUGAAAAUAGAGUUACGAAUUAAAGGUGUCCAACAAUGUUUAAAGUAGAAAUGUGUUUGUCUUGCACCAUGAUUUGGUCUUACAGAGUAAAAUGAACAAGUCUAAGUAGAAACUUUUGAAUCAAUAAUAUAUUUAUUCCACA